AUCCAGAUGACGAGUCCAGAAUAGGACGAAAUGCGCAUCCUGGAA
rnacentral:hammerhead_ribozyme from 1 species